rnacentral:rRNA from 1 species
CAGUCGCCGCGGUAAUACAGAGGGUGCGAGCGUUAAUCGGAUUUACUGGGCGUAAAGCGUGCGUAGGCGGCUUCUUAAGUCGGAUGUGAAAUCCCUGAGCUUAACUUAGGAAUUGCAUUCGAUACUGGGAAGCUAGAGUAUGGGAGAGGAUGGUAGAAUUCCAGGUGUAGCGGUGAAAUGCGUAGAGAUCUGGAGGAAUACCGAUGGCGAAGGCAGCCAUCUGGCCUAAUACUGACGCUGAGGUACGAAAGCAUGGGGAGCAAACAGGAUUAGAGACCCCGGUAGUCCCUGUCUCUUAUUC